UACGUAGGGGGCAAGCGUUGUCCGGAUUUAUUGGGCGUAAAGAGCGUGUAGGCGGUUUGGUAUGUCCGUUGCGAAAACUCGAGGCUCAACCUCGAGACGCCGAUGGAAACCAUCAGACUAGAGUCCGGAAGAGGAGAGUGGAAUUCCCGGUGUAGCGGUGAAAUGCGUAGAGAUCGGGAGGAACACCAGUGGCGAAGGCGGCCAUCUGGAUCAACACUGACGCUGAGGCACGAAAGCGUGGGGAGCAAACAGG
rnacentral:rRNA from 1 species